rnacentral:lncRNA from 1 species
GGUAAGACCAGAGCAAGGUCCAGGAACUGCGACACCUCAUUCGGAGCAGAAGAGAGGAGAAUAGAUCCCGACAUGCAUCUGCUUAGUGCAGAACUGCCAACGUCCAUGUCUCUCAGUGAAGGUGGUGGUUUCAUCACCAGCAGCAGCAGCUAGUCUUUGCUCCUCCAAAUGGCUCAUGCCAGCCCUGCCUCUGUCCACACAUACCAUCUGUGCUAUCAACACAGACCUUCAGAAGUAGAGAGGAUGGAAAUAGAACACGUACUUUGAUAAACAGAAGCAAUUAGACUUCCUUGGACGAUGCCACAUUCCUUUAAUGCACAUUCGGCUUAAUGCACAAUGGGAAAAUCAGAGCCUAUUGAGCAAUGGUGUUGCCUCUGGUUUAUUGCAGUUCAUUAAUAAACAUUGCAGCUGGAGGCAAUGACUGUAUGACCCUUAAGUUCCUCCCAAUGCUGAGUUUCUAUGGCUUGUAGAAUAUUACAGCUUUAGAGUUUAAAAAUGUGUUCUGUACAACCAUGGGUACUAUAUUUGUCUUUUAAUUGUAGCUAUAGGCUAUUCUUGUACAUCCUACCUAGAUCUCGUCCUUUCCAGAAGGAAGGAAGUCAAGCUUUGUUCUAAGCCCUGUCACUUGAAAGGCAUAGCUUCCUAUCCCCUUAUCCCUGCUAAAGCUAUUUACAUCACUAGAUAUUGAAUACAUCAGAUCAUAUGUGGAAGGUCCUCAUCUAGAGACGAGAUCCAGAAGAGGAAACAAACUGAUGUUUCUCAAGAGUGAGCAAAUUUUACCUCUAGAUACCCUUUGACACAGGUUAUAACAAAAACUUCCCUCUGCUCUCUUCUCGUCAGUCCAGAGAGUCAGGCAAGCCAAUCCUCAAAAUCAAUAAGUGCUUCCUCCCCACUCUCCUUUCCCUCCCCCUCUCCAUUGCCUAGUUAGGUUUAUCCCUGGUGUCUGAUCUUUGUUGCAUCUCAGUCUGUAGGUAUCUAGGAGUGAAUUUAUCCUUGGUUGGGUAACUAUAUUGGUGACUGAGAUACUCAAACCAUCUCAGUUUGCCUGCAACUCAGGGGUUUCCUGGGUAUGGAGUUUUGAGUACUAAACUUAGGAAACCAAAAUAAAUUAUUCAACAUGCC